UACGAAGGGGGCUAGCGUUGUUCGGAAUCACUGGGCGUAAAGCGCACGUAGGCGGAUCUUUAAGUCAGGGGUGAAAUCCCGAGGCUCAACCUCGGAACUGCCUUUGAUACUGAAGAUCUUGAGUUCGGGAGAGGUGAGUGGAACUGCGAGUGUAGAGGUGAAAUUCGUAGAUAUUCGCAAGAACACCAGUGGCGAAGGCGGCUCACUGGCCCGAUACUGACGCUGAGGAGCGAAAGCGUGGGGAGCGAACAGG
rnacentral:rRNA from 1 species